GUGGAACUUGCUGAAGUGUUUUGUUUUGCUGACGGGAUGUUUCCUUUUAAUCUGGUUAUGCAUGCCUUAAAGCACAGCAUGUACCCUCCAAUCCACACCCAUUGCCACUUGUCACAUUUCACCAUGUCACAGUUUCCGUAUUUCACCUUAUCUGGGAGAUUCCUAAAGCCAUUUGAGAUUACACCCCCUUAGCACUGCAAAGUUCUUGAACUGGUGACUCCCAAUUUCAACUUCUCCCUCAAAACUAUUCUUUAUAUGCCACUAAUUACCUGGGUAUCCUAUAGAAUCUAAAGAAAUUCAAAUAUUUAAUUAUCGCACACUGAACUCAUCUGAAGGUCCAACUCUUUUCUCAACUUUGAUAAUGAUUUUCUUUACCCCCCUAUUUUUCCACAUUAAAG
rnacentral:lncRNA from 1 species